CUAGAAGCCGCAGGUGAGACUUGAGUGCAGGGUGGGGACCAAAGGUGGACAGAAGGAGCACGACGGGUCCCCCACCAGAGGACCUACCCCUCGCCUAACACCCCAGCAAGUGGUUUUCAGAAGCAUUAAUGGCUCCACAAAAUGAUUUCCGAGUUCAUGCACAGUGGCGUAGCAAGGUCAGGUGGUGCCCGGGGCGGAAAAAUUCUUGUCACACACACACCCCCCACACACACACACAUUGAAAAUAUAAAAAAAGGAAAAAAUAUGAUACAGUUGCAAGUGUUAUUUUCUGCUUUAUUUACUUAACAUUGUGAGCAUAAGCACUUAAAACCUUUUUUUCAUGAUGGGAAUUUCUUAUUUUAAAAACACAUAUUUUUGCCAUUUUGUCACUCCCCUCAGUGAUGACAGCUGGGGUGGCCUGCACCCACCACACCCGGGGUGGCCCACACCCACUUCACCCCCCCCUUCCUACGCCAUUGUUCAUGCAUCUCUUGCCAAAAUAUGGCUAUAUGUCACGCCUCUUGGUUCCAAUUCUCUUUAAAGCCCUGUAGCAACACCUUUAAUCUGUUUGCAGCAGCAUCUUCCAAACUCUAGCCCUGGACUCCUGCUCAUUACUAGCAAAACGUUGGUCAUGGUUACAGGUAUCAGCAUGGCCAAUGGUUAGGGAUGAUAGGAAGUGCUGCCCAACACCACCUGGGGGCAGUCGCGGACCUACAUUUGGGGGGCCCUGAAACUGUCACGAGGACCCCUUCACAACUAGCAACAAGGGCUGGGUAACCAUUGCGAUCUUCUUCUGUGGGGUUGUUCCAUGACAGAUCACCACACCUUUACAACAUCUGUGCUAUUGGACUGUCAAACUUCAGAAUUGUUGAAACAUAUACAACAAAAAAUUAAUCCAUCUGAGUCAUGCCACUCAAAUGGGGUCUGUUAGACCCCAACAUUUUAAGCAAUGUGGACUAAACUUGCUUCCGGGGGCCCUCUGGGAUCAGGGGCCCUGAAAUGUAAGCUUCAUUAGUUUCUUAAUAGAUCCAUCCCUGCCUGGGGGGACACAGACUGCCAUCCCUCCAUACCUAGAGCAGAGGGCUUGCAACAUAUAAAGAUCCUAGGAUGCAGGGGUGAAAUUCACAAUUUCAUUUCCCCACCCCCACCCCUCACUUUGGAAUCACCAUUAAUGGCAUUGUACCCCCUGUGCCGGGGACGCGGGUGGCGCUGUGGUCUAAACCACUGAGCCUAGGGCUUGCCGAUCAGAAGGUUGGCGGUUUGAAUCCCCAUGACAGGGUGCGCUCCCAUUGCUCGGUCCCUGCUCCUGCCAACCUAGCAGUUCGAAAGCACAUCAAAGUGCAAGUAGAUAAAUAGGUACCGCUCCGGCGGGGAGGUAAACAGCAUUUCCAUGCGCUGCUCUGGUUCGCCAGAAGCGGCUUAGUCAUGCUGGCCACAUGACCAGGAAAAAUUGUCUGUGGACAAACGCCGGCUCCCUCGGCCAGUAAAAUGAGAUGAGCGCUGCAAUCCCAGAGUCGUCCAUGACUGGACCUAACGGUCAGGGGUCCCUUUUUACCCCCUAUGCCACAGAGGCAUCAGGCAAAUUGUGCCCUCACAGCCCCGCUGUUUGUUUGUUUGUUCCAACAAUUUAUUUGUUUAUUUAUUAUGUUUCUGAUUUAUUCUAUUUAUUAUCCAACCCUUUCUCCAGAAGGAGCCCAGGGCAGCAAGCAGCAAGCGAUAAAACGUCUUUAAAAAACAAUCCCAAGAAAGAUACGGAUCUCUGCUUAAAAGGCUUGUUGGAAGAGGAAGGUAAAGUACGACAGCUAAAGAGGCCAGCAGCCCCACACUUCCACCGCAUUGUGGCAGGGGGUGUGGAGGUCAAUCUAGUCUCUGCAAUUAGCUCUCUCCGCAAAAGGUGUCUGAUUUCUGAAUCUAUCCUUUGGGACAGUUCUCAAAGGGUGUGGGGUGGCCAGCCUGCACCUCAAAGAACUGGCCACUAGGUGUCAGGCUUGCACUGCUAACUACCUCUCCUGUGGUGGAAAAUUCACAACGCACAGAACUAAAUAACCUGGUCUGUUGAAUUAAUAUUUCCAUUAUGUCUGGGAACCCGUAGAAUUGUGGAGCUGAAGGUGUGGAGCAGGAAUGCUUUCUUCCUUUGUUUUCCUUUCCCCUUCUUUCCUCCUCCAUUCCUUUUUAGGUUAGAUUUUAGAAAUGUUUCUUUUAUUUCGGUG